rnacentral:rRNA from 1 species
AACGCUGGCGGCGUAGCUUAACACAUAGCAAGUCGAACGAGACGAUUGAAAGCUUGCUUUUGAAAGUCGAGUGGCAAACGGGUGAGUAACGCGUAGGCAACCUGCCUUUGAGAUGGGGACAACAGUCCGAAAGGACUGCUAAUACCGAAUGUUGUGGAACUUCCGCAUGGAGGCUCCACCAAAGAUGACCUCUUCCUGAAAGUUAUCGCUCAAAGAUGGGCCUGCGUCUGAUUAGCUAGUUGGUGGGGCAACGGCCUACCAAGGCGACGAUCAGUAGCCGGUCUGAGAGGAUGAACGGCCACAUUGGAACUGAGACACGGUCCAGACUCCUACGGGAGGCAGCAGUGGGGAAUCUUCCGCAAUGGGCGAAAGCCUGACGGAGCAACGCCGCGUGAGUGAAGAAGGCCUUCGGGUCGUAAAGCUCUGUUGUCGGGGACGAAUGUACUCUUUAUCAACAACGAGGAGUAAUGACGGUACCUGACGAGGAAGCCACGGCUAACUACGUGCC